rnacentral:lncRNA from 1 species
AUGGAUUUGGCUUAUUGUUGAAAGCAUUUUAGCUGUAGGCAAUCAUACCACGCCUUAUUUCUAUAAAACCUUUUAGAUAUAAAAAAAAAAAAAAAAACCAACAAGAUGUGGGAUGAUUUCAAACGAGACAACUCUUCACAACUAAUUGACACAGAAAUUAAUAAUAAUAUGUUCUAUAAUGAGAAAAAACAAUACCACAUAGCCAGCUAUAAAAUGUCCGGAAAUAACAAAUGCAAUACAAUUCAAACCAGAAAUCUAACGGCGGGAUUUCUGUACAAAAUAAUGAACGAAAAACAAAUAUGAUAA